rnacentral:tmRNA from 1 species
GGGGGUGACUGGCUUCGACGUCGGUCGCGAAACCAUCGGAGCAUGCCGAGGUGCAGAGUUCCUCGCAAAUCCAGCUGCACAACAAUAGUUGCCAACGACGACAACUACGCACUGGCGGCUUAAGUCCCGCUAGUCCUUCCACCCGGCUCGCCUGUCGGCUUGGGCUCGGAAGGUCAUUCCAGACAGGAUCGCUUGCCGGCUGUGCCUGUUAGCCGGCUGCUAAAGGUAAGCAGGCUCGCCGUCCGGUAAGUUUGUCUGCCGACUGGCCGGACGGUUAACUUGAAGCGCAGACUAAGCAUGUAGUUGCCGGUGAGCGUAGGGCUUGCGGACGCGGGUUCAAUUCCCGCCACCUCCACCA